ensembl:lncRNA
GAUGUUGACACACUGAGGUCUCUUCUCAGAAGUACAAGUGCCGUCGGCAAGUGCCCCCACCUCCCCAUCCCCCACGCUCCCUCAUCCCAGUAAACAAAAGAGCUGUGAUUGCCUCGUGAAAUAAGAGUGAGUUACUGUGUCGGACUCAGAAAGACAGUGAUUCUUUGGAGAAAUCUGACAUUUCAAUUUAUGCUACAUUCCCAUUUCUUCACUUACUGAAUAGGAUAAUUAUUGGGUACAUGCACAUCUAACAAGCCAUAUCUGACCAAAAAUUAGUUGACAUCCAAACGUCAAAACUCACCUGUCCAAACUUUUGAUAAAUGACCCCAAACUUGAAAUUGUUGCUGAUCACAUGCUCAUCGAAGGCGGCAAUAAGUCUCGAAGCCUGUACAAAAACAGAGAAAUAAGGGAUAUUCAAGUUUAGUUUCACAUUUCUUAUGAAACAAAAAUUGUAAUCCUGCCUCGUUUAUCCUGAGAUAUCUCCUGCUAACAAUGUAAAUGCUCAUCUUGUAAAAGUUUAUCUGAAGCGUCUGAAAUCACAAAUCAAAAGUGUGCAUGCUCCAAAUGAAAGUAUUUCGUUUUGCAGUAAUGCAGACUAUUAGAAUUGCAUCCUUAUCCUGUGAGUCAUCAGAUGUGUGGAAAUGCAACCGACGUUUCCACCUGCUGCAACUAUACAAACCAAACCAGAUCUUACUUUUGGAUAAAGGACCGGAGAAAAGCGGUCCACAUUGACCUCUUCACAGACGAGCUUGGAUUAAAAAAAAAAAAAAGCAGAGGAAGAAAUGUUAAACUGUGUUUUGAUCACAAUGGACUGAUCACUGCGUAAUAAAAAGAGAAAACAUCUCUUUUCACCUUGGCCAUUUGGACCACGUUGGGGAACUCGGUCAGACAGGAAAUGGGGAUCACAUCAUGGUGGGUUUUCAGCUUGUUUCUGAUGAAGCCAUAAAACAAUCAGUGGGGUCUAAAGCCACAUAACGCAAUGCAACAUUUCUCAGAAGCCAUCACAUGGGAGAGACGAUCCGACGUGGACCAUAUAUUUCCUGUUGAUGCUGAAAAUCCAGACAUUUUGUCAAAGUUUCAAUAUUUGUGACUUCAGAGGUUGAUAUAAAGAUCUUCAUGUCUAUAUUAGAUUAGAAUAGCAUAUACUGUCUCUAAAGCAAUUUUUUUGCCGUGAAGUUGAACACAGAAUCCCUUUGAGUCAUACUUUCGUCGAUAAUUCUUAAUCAAUUGCUUAACUGGAAUCAUCACUUCCCUUUGUGUCAAACGUUUUGUGGGCAGUUUUCUAUCCAGAAUCACUGCGUAGACUGAAAACAGCAAUUAGAUGAUUCCUUCGUGUCAUUGUCUCCUUACGAAAAGAGAGGAAUUUAUCUUGGAAUCAAUCUUUGUGCUGUACAUUACUUCUUUUGUUUGACAUAUUCUCCACUGUUAUUUAUCAGUGAACAUUUAAAAUAUAACAUGAUUCUGAUGGUCUUUGUUUUCUUUUGACAGUGUUUUUUUUUAUACAAACCAUUAACAAUUUUUAGCAUCCUUCUAUUUCCUUUGUGUCAUUUAAAAAACAAAGUUUUUAUUUGUAUAAAACAAAUAAAACAACAUUAUGAUUUUAAAAAAUGCCAUGACGUACCCCACCGUGUAUGCCUAUUGAGCAUUACCUGAGCAUUAGACGGAGGUGUUCCUGGUCACCGAUCACAUCGUACUUUAGAGAGAACACCAGAUGUCCGAGGGCGCCGUCCACUGAAUAGUAAUUAAAGUGUUCCUGAGGGCACAGUACAAGGACACGGCCAUUAGUACCUGUCAGAAACACACACACACACGACACUAAUGCUCACACUCGCUCCACUCAUUAUCCAACACCUUGAAGUACUCAGUACCCAUUUCUACUUUUGUACCUCUCGUACCGCAGGCAGGUGAAAUGUGUUCAUAUUACGUGUGUGUAAGAACAGCUGGCAGAUCCCACAGCAUCUUCAUUAACAACAGUGAGUCUGGGUUAUUCCAUCGCGAUACGCUUGUUGCUUAUUACAAUACAACAAUGAGCAAGAACUGAAAUUGAUUGUGAAAUGUUCUAUUAGAGUAAAGAG